rnacentral:lncRNA from 1 species
CAAAAUGACCCAAAGGGGAAGGAAGGGGCCGACAACCCUGGAGGGAAACGCAGGCAGAAGCACUUUAAAAAGGCAUGAAUCGCUUUUAUUUCAAAUCAACUGAUCAGCCCCCUAGAAAUCACUAAUACAAAGCAUGCGCCCCGCGACGGCAGGGCCAGGAGAUGCGGGUCGGUCGGUUCAGGGGUUCUCAUUACUGGGUUUCUCUUCAUUUCUUUCUUUCUUUCUUUUUUUUUUUUUUUUUUUUUUUUUUUGAAUUUCAUUUUCUGUUUGUUUCCUGUUUCCGGAGCCGUGGACGUGACGAGGCGACGAGGGCGAGAUGGGGCAACACCCCGGGAGCCCAGCAGGGUAGGGGCAGCGGGAGAUCAGCUCGCCGGGGAGGCCACUACAGGCUCUCCUUGUGGUCUCUGACCUCUUCUGCCUUAUCCUUGCCCUCCUGCUUGGCUUCAUUGGCAUCCGGCACGCUGGCAGCGUCGCUGUUCUUUUCCUUCUCCUCUUCGGCUGGGUUGGGCUUCGGCUCCUCCUUGGGGGCCUCUUCGUUGUCUGUCUUCUUCUCUGCUUCCUGCCCCUCCAUCUCCUUGGUGCGCUUGGGGGAGUCCUCCAAAACAUCUUCUGCUUUCCUCUUGAUCCCGGCUUUCUCAUUCUUCUCCUUGGAUUGCUCGUCGAUCACUAGCUUCCCCUCCUCAUCGCUGCUGCCCUCUGCGUUGCCCUUCUUCUCCCCAUCACCCUCUGGCUCCUGCUCUGGCUCAGCGUCCUCAGGGCAGGUCUUCUUCUGAGUAGGCUGGUACCCGGAGGCUUUGACAGUUGGGUUGUGCUCGAUCUCCCACAAGCCUUCGCUGAACCCUUUCCUUUUGUUGGGUUUCCCAAACUUCUCCUUGCAUUCUUCAUAGGGGAAGAGGUCUUUGGGCCCCAGGAAUGCCGUUUCAUGGGUCCCAAAGAAGAAGACUUGGUAUUUGUUGGAGGAAGAUUUUACUGCAGCUUCUGGCAUCUCGUCAAUCCGGGCGGGCCAGUGGGGGUAGCCCUUCAUCUUGGCGAAGACGAGGUCCCCGCACUUGUACUCCUUCUGCCGGUGGGAGCGGGACAUGGUGGCGGCUGCGGGCCGCGGGGGGGCCCGGCGUGAAGUUUGGGAGCGGGAACGCGGCGGGAGGAAAAAAAAAAAACCACACACACACACAAAAAAAAGGGGGGGGGGGGGG